UCAAAGGAUGAGGGGUUCGAAGGUCGAGUUAAGGAGUUCAAAUAAAAAAAGAAGCAAUUCGAAAACCAAGUUGAGGACUUCAAAUCAAAAGAGAAGCAACUUGAAAGCCAAGUCGAGGAAUACAAAUCAAAAGAGAAUCAAAUUGAAGAAAGGUGGAAAGAACUCGAGUCAAAAGAGAAUAAGUUCAAAGUACUGGUCAAAGAGCUCAAGUUAAAAGAAGGAAAAAUCAAGGAUCCUGGUUCAAAGCUGGAUAAAUUUGAUGGACAAUUGAAGGAGUCUGAGUUGACAGAGAAACAAUUUGAAUCAUUAAUAAACUAUUUUGAUGAGGAAAAAGCAUCGGUUGCAUCUAGCACGGAUGAUCGAUUAAGUCCAACCAUUGAUGGAACAAGUUUGCAGUUGCUCCCAAGUGAUGAACUGAGAUUCUAGUCAAUCUGCAAGAAUCUGUUAGACCUCUCAUAAAGAAAUAUUAUUCAAGGAAUAGAAACAGAAACAGAAACUGACUUGGCAGUUUCUGUGUCUGUUAUGGACAGUUACAAGUUUCUGUGCAGUAGUUAUUAUUUAACAGUUAUUGUGUGCAGUUAUUUUCUAGAAUGUGUAUUCUGUUAUAUAAAUAAAGAAUAGUCAGACUUAAUAGUUAUCUUAGAAUUAUUGUGUGGUUCAUUGGAAAAGGAGAGACACAAGGCUCUCGGAACCUUGUGAGUGUGUACUGUGAAUAUUUCUGUGUAAUUUCAAUUCAUUACAAGUGUGUGAUUGUAUAUUUAUCUCUGAUUAGGAAACCUUUCCCCAGAGAAUAUUCAAUAAUAAACAAUAAUAUUCAGUUGUUUAUCCUAUUGGUACCAGUUUCUAUCAGAAUCAUCAGAUCCAACAAAAGUUGUUUUGGAUAUAAUACAAAACCCAAUUAUUCCACGAUGUAACGAGGGAGACCAUGCUGUUAUUGAUGGUAGCAGUGUCUUUCUGCUAGAACAACUGAUGAGAAUCUCACCGAAGAUUAAACCUGGUGUAAGAGAAGAAACAUUGAAGCUAGCACUUGAUUUGAAAGCUAACAUGAAAAGUACUGAAAAUUCUCUGGUGGUUCUUGGUUUUCUACUGCUUUUGUCAGUUUAUGAAUUGCUUACUUAUUUUGAUGAAGAUGAAGUCUUGGAGCUUUUCGCAUUUGUUGCUCAGCACAAGACAGCCGUGGAACUGUUUCAGACCCUGGGUUUUGCAAAUAAACUUUCAGAAUUUUUUGAGGAUCUUAUCAGGAAGAAACAAUUUGUUGUGCUUACUGCUUGGCUGAGAAGAAUCAAAAAGUUUUUGUUCUAGAAAAACCUAAUGUAAAUAAAUGUGGUAAUGGUACUUCCUGCUAUUUAUUACAGAGUAACAACAUGGCUCACUACAUAUGUCGUUUAGUUGCUUUAAGAAUGCCUCUAAGUUUAUGU